UACGAAGGGUGCAAGCGUUACUCGGAAUUACUGGGCGUAAAGCGUGCGUAGGUGGUUUGUUAAGUCUGAUGUGAAAGCCCUGGGCUCAACCUGGGAAUUGCACUGGAUACUGGCAGACUAGAGUGCGGGAGAGGAUGGCGGAAUUCCUGGUGUAGCAGUGAAAUGCGUAGAUAUCAGGAGGAACAUCCGUGGCGAAGGCGGCCAUCUGGACCAGCACUGACACUGAGGCACGAAAGCGUGGGGAGCAAACAGG
rnacentral:rRNA from 1 species